AUGAGACUAACGCAAAGGUUUUCAAUAUGGUUUGGUUUUAAGGGCCUACGAUGGUUCCAAGUUGUAGAUUGACUUUGCUUGACUUUACUUCCGUUUGGUUUGACCUUUUUUUUAGUUGACUUGUAUUAAAUGAUUUUAAAGUUAGUCUUUCGCUAUGUGAGUCUUUGAUAAUUGCCUUAGCCGUUUUCACGUGGCGGUAAUGUCUUAGAUUUUCCUUCUUCGUAUUUUAAUAUGGCAAAAUUUGGUAUUUUAAGGAAAGGAAUUUUAGGGUGUUACAAAUUUAAUUUAAUUAUGUUCUUUUCUGAAUUGAUUCCUCAUAAGUUUGUCGAGAAUCCAAGUAAUUGUGGGCGAAAGAGAUGCAGAAAUCUAGGGCAAUACCAGUUAUAAUCGAAGGAAUAGUGUUUGAUAUUCAAGCUACUGCUGCUAUUCCGUUACUGCCAAAACCACCACUUCUAACAAGGACCUACAUUGUUUGCUCCUGUAGUUGAGAUGGCCAUGACAAUUGUUGAGGAGAGUGGAGGACAAUACCAUGUUUUACUCAUUAUUGCAAAUGGAUUAAUUGAAGACAAAGAUACUCGUAAAUCUUCAAGCAAUUAGUAUAAGAUAGAGAGAAACUUGAUUCCAUUAGUUUUAUUUCCUUGGAGUUGUUGUGUAGUUUUUUUCUUUUUACUUGUAUAUAGUAAUAGUGUAAUGGAGUACUACUAAGUUUUGAUUUAUUUUGUUUUUUCUUGUAUUUGACUUCACCUUUAUCAAUUAAAGAUUGAAUUUAGUUUUAUUGAUAAUGAAUAGAGCUUGUGGUGAA